GCCGCCAUCGUCUGCCGCGCACACUCUAGGACCUUCUCCGAUUUAUCAGAAUGGGAGAGGAUAUUAAUCCCCUCAUGACGCCUAACCCAACCUGGAUUUGUUCUGAGUGGCGGGGGAGAAAGUGAAAUGCCACCAGAUCAGUGGCAAGUAGCAGCUGUGGCAGCUCUCUCUUGGGGACGCCACUGCACAGAAGCCUCGAGUGAUGUUUGUUUAACCAACAGCUUUCAAAGUAAACACCAGCGAGUCCCUCCAAAGAAGUUGGGAGCCAUGAGGACUGUCAGAAAAACUGAUUUAAAAUAAUAAUAAUAAUAAUAAUAAUAAUAAUAAUAAUAA
rnacentral:lncRNA from 1 species